UACUCACAUGCCCUGGGGAAAGGAGGGGGAUCACCGCAAUGACAAACAACAGUUAAGGUAAACAGAACCAGCUCUUUAAGAUGCUCCUCUGUCAUGAUCUCCAAUCUUUGACAUCUCCGGUCGGCUGACAAAGAACAGAUGCCAGCUAUAAAACGGGCCAGCCAUAAAACCUCAAUUAACCUCUGGUAUGUGAGAGCCCCUAUAUCAAUGGGCCAAAGAGAAGGUUCUGGUAUUCUGUACAAUAAAACCUGUUGGAAUCGA